GACGAACGCUGGCGGCGUGCUUAACACAUGCAAGUCGAACGGAGUGGCGAACGGGUGAGUAACACGUGGGUGAUCUGCCUUGCACUUCGGGAUAAGCUUGGGAAACUGGGUCUAAUACCGGAUAGUGCAAGAUGAGCUCGCGGCCUAUCAGCUUGUUGGUGGGGUAAUGGCCUACCACGGCGUCGACGGGUAGCCGGCCUGAGAGGGUGUACGGGCACAUGGGGACUGAGAGACGGACCAGAGGGCGACGGGAGGCAGCAGUGGGGAAGAUUGCACAAUGGGCGGAAGCCUGAUGCAGCGACGCUGGGUGGGUGAUGAAGGCUUUGGGGUUGGAAACUCAUUACGGCAGGGACGCGGUACCUGUAUAAGAAGCACCGGCUAACUACGUGCCAGCAGCCGCGGUAAUAC
rnacentral:rRNA from 1 species